rnacentral:lncRNA from 1 species
UGAUGCUUGGAUCCUCCAGAAGCUGUGGUAUUUAAAUGGCUGAAGGAUUUGGAAAAGAAGCUCCAUGGGGUGGACAAAAUAAGGAUCACAUUACCUUUUCCUUUCAAGUCAUCUUUCAUUCUGAGUCUCUGCUAAACAAACAAAUCCCCACAAUACUGUCAAGGCCGUUCUUCACUUGCAGCACUGCAGCACUGGCAGAUAUAACCAAGACGAAUGUUGCUCUGACUGAACUUGACUGGGGCAAUGCAGUUAAUGGUGACCCCAAGAGUUUAUUGGGUGUGUCGGCGUCGAUGUAUUUUCUCAGAACAUGAGCACUUCAAUCCAUCAGAAUGGUAGCCUGAAUCUAAUGGCAGCAGAAGGAUAUUUUCUAAGACUGGAGCCUGAUAAUUUUUAUUUUUUGUUCUGGCUGAGGACUAGAAUUCCUUGAAAAAAAACAUGUGAAGUACAUCAAUCUUCUGGUUCUGCUCUCUUGCAGAGGAGCACCCUGAUGGCCUUACUGCCUCUGAUCUUCUCUUGUCCUCCCACUUGUCUCUCUUGCAUUCUGAAAACACACUGCUUAGUCCAUGUUAGCUGGUAAAGAGCCAUCCGUGCCUGGUCACCCACUAACAGUGAGAGCUAAAUGCUCAGGCUCUUAAUGCUGUUUCAGCACUUUCCUCUGCCUUGAUCUACCUUUUUUGUGAAUGAAGUACUUCUGACUGGGAAACCAAGAAGUGUAUGCACCUGAUUCAAAACCUGUGUUUUGUGUCUGAAGGAUGUAAGUCACAUACUUGGUAUUAUGUAAGUAGCAUGCCAUAUAUUCACUGGACAACGUGUAUCCUGACACUAAUAUUCCAAUAUUAUAACUAAGUACUCUGCAGUGAUAUUUAUGUACUCGGAGCAUCAAUAUUUUAUUUGCUACAUAGUUCAGACAUUGGAAAGAUUCAAAUACUUGCUGGAUUGUGUAUAAUUCUGCACAUAAGCAUUGUUCCCAAUGCCUAUUAAAAAAAAAAUGAAUCCAUUGUGUUAAUAGCUUCAAAAUCAAAUAUCUCCAACUCAUCAAAACCUUCUUAAAAAUAUCUGAGCUAAAAUACAGAGAGGUAGUUUAGAAAUCAUUUAAAAUAGAAUGCAUUUUUGUCUUAAAUGUGUAUAUGUUAGAAUGUUUGUGCAAAACAACUGAGAGAUAUUCCCAUGCACUUGUUAUUCUUGUUUUCCCUGGCUAAAACUGAAUUGCCUGUAAAGCACAUUGUGUAAAUUGGCAUUGCAGCAUUAGCCAUUGCUCCAGAGAAUCUGCAAGGAAGGAGGUGGCAAUCAGGAUGAGUGGGAAAUAAAGUUCUCAUAAAAGACUGUCA